GUUAUCCUCACAGUGAAUGACCUGUAACUCAACUGUCCAAGACUGUUCGAGCAUGUUCUGAAGUUCCUGGAUCACAACCCAGUUGUCGUGCAAGCUGCUGUCACCACCGGAGAUGAGAUAUUGACGGUCUCGUGGAUAACCACUAUGGCGAGAGAUGUGUGCGGACAUCAUAUAAAGGAUAAAUCUAUUGCAAGCUGAACAAUUCACUAAUCACAAUGUGAUUCCGGACACACUAUGUAAAUAAGGUAUCUCACUUAUAUACAAAUUAAAGUAUUCGAUUUCAUUCAUUGAGCUUAUAAGAUUUUUCUUGUCAAUUUCUUUUAAAAUCUUGUAUCUCA